CUAAUGUCUUGUAAUUGGAAUGAUGGUGACCCAAACCCUCACCAGAGUAGCAAUUGGAGGGCAAGUCUGGUGCCAGCAGCCGCGGUAAUUCCAGCUCCAAUAGCGUAUAUUAAACUUGUUGCAGUUAAAAAGCUCGUAGUUGAAUUUUAGCGUGUUCGAGUUUGCCAUUCGUUUGGCUUUUUCGAGUUCGCUUUUGGGUUUUCCCUUUUUACUUUGAGAAAAUUAGAGUGUUUCAAGCAGACUUUUGUCUUGAAUACUUCAGCAUGGAAUAAUAGAGUAGGACUUUGGUUCUAUUUUGUUGGUUAUUGAACCU
rnacentral:rRNA from 1 species